CCUACGGGGGGCAGCAGUGGGGAAUUUUGGACAAUGGGGGCAACCCUGAUCCAGCCAUGCCGCGUGCGGGAAGAAGGCCUUCGGGUUGUAAACCGCUUUCGGCCGGAACGAAAUCGCCGGGGAGAACAUCCCCGGUGGAUGACGGUACCGGAAGAAGAAGCACCGGCUAACUACGUGCCAGCAGCCGCGGUAAUACGUAGGGUGCGAGCGUUAAUCGGAGUUACCGGGGGCGAUGCGCGAGCACAGGUGUGGAAUCCCCGGGCUUAACCUGGGAACUGCGUUUGUGACUGGCGGGCUGGAGUGCGGAAGAGGGAGGUGGAAUUCCACGUGUAGCAGUGAAAUGCGUAGAGAUGUGGAGGAACACCGAUGGCGAAGGCAGCCUCCUGGUCUAGCACUGACGCUCAUGCACGAAAGCGUGGGGAGCAAACAGGAUUAGAUACCCCAGUAGUC
rnacentral:rRNA from 1 species